GGAAGGGGUGUAUUUAUUAGAUAAAAAACCAAUGCGGGCAACCGCUUUUCUGGUGAUUCAUAAUAACUCUUCGAAUCGCAUGGCCUUGUGCUAGCGAUGUUUCAUUCAAAUUUCUGCCCUAUGAACUUUCCAUGGUAGGAAAGAGGCCUACCAUGAAUUUAACGGGUAACGGGGAAUUAGUGUUCGAUUCCGUAGAGGGAGCCUGGGAAACGGCUACCACAUCCAAGGAAGGUAGCAGGCGCGCAAAUUACCCCGUCCCGAUACGGGGAAGUAGUGACAAUAAAUAACAAUACAGGGCUUUAUAGUCUUGUAAUUGGCAUGAGUACAAUUUAAAUCUCUUAACGAGGAACAAUUGGAGGGCAAGUCUGGUGCCAGCAGCCGCGGUAAUUCCAGCUCCAAUAGCGUAUAUUAAAGUUGUUGCAGUUAAAAAGCUCGUAGUUGAACAUUAGGCCUGGUUGGACGGUCUGCUCUAGGGUUUGUACUGUCCUGACUGGGUCUUACCUUCUGGUGAGCUGUCGUAUUGUUUACUCAGUGCGGCAGGGAACCAGGACUUUUAC
rnacentral:rRNA from 1 species